UACGGAGGAUGCGAGCGUCAUCCGGAUUUAUUGGGUUUAAAGGGUGCGUAGGCGGACGCUUAAGUCAGCGGUAAAAUUGCGGGGCUCAACCUCGUCGAGCCGUUGAAACUGGGUGCCUUGAGUGGGCGAGAAGUACGCGGAAUGCGUGGUGUAGCGGUGAAAUGCAUAGAUAUCACGCAGAACUCCGAUUGCGAAGGCAGCGUACCGGCGCCCAACUGACGCUGAAGCACGAAAGCAUGGGUAGCGAACAGG
rnacentral:rRNA from 1 species